rnacentral:rRNA from 1 species
GACGAACGCUGGCGGCGUGCUUAACACAUGCAAGUCGAGCGGUAAGGCCUUUCGGGGUACACGAGCGGCGAACGGGUGAGUAACACGUGGGUGAUCUGCCCUGCACUCUGGGAUAAUCCUGGGAAACUGGGUCUAAUACUGGAUAUGACCUCAGGAUGCAUGUGCUGGGGUGGAAAGCUUUUGUGGUGUAGGAUGGGCCCGCGGCCUAUCAGCUUGUUGGGGGGGGAAAGGCCUACCAAGGCGAGGACGGGUAGCCGACCUGAGAGGGUUACCGGCCACACGGGGACUGAGGCACGGCCCAGACGCCAACGGGAGGCAGCAGUGGGGAAUAUUGCACAAUGGGCGGAGGCCUGAUGCGGCGACGCCGCGGGAGGGAUGAGGGCCUUCGGGUUGUAAACCUCCUUCAGCAGGGACGAAGCGUGAGUGACGGUACCUGCAGAAGAAGCACCGGCUAACUACGUGCCAGCCGCCGCAGUAACAC